GCUCAAAGCUUCUGAGUUGGCUCUGGAAAAGCUGGAUGCCGGUGAUACAGAAGAAGGAAUCAAAGAAACUCUUAAGACAAUCUCUAAAUCCGAUUCUCAAAGCAUUGAUGCAGUUUCAAAAGAUGAAAUUGUUGCUGACCAAACACACCUUGAGGCAUCUUAUGCUUUGCUUCCCAUGGAAGAGGAGCUCAAAACUUAUCAAGAAGAUCGUGAAACUACAACCCAAGACAGAUUUAUAGAGGAAGAGUAUGCCAAGAAAACAGAAGUGCCAGCUGAUGAAAAUGGGAGCGAUUUGGUUGCUGCAACAUUGGCAGAAGAGACACUGCUGAAGGAAGAGCCCGGGGAGCUCAAAGUUUCUGAAUUGGCUCCAGAAAAUCUGGAUGCUGGUGAAACGAAAGAAGAAAUAAAAAAAUCUUUUGAAAAGGUGUCUAAAUCUGAUUCUCAAAGCACUGAAGUUGUUUCGGGAGAUGAGACCACUGCUUACCAGACAGAGCUGGUGGGAGAUAAGGCCGUGGAGGAAAGCUUUCAAGUGCAAAGCCUUGAGGAAGCAGAACCAAAAUUGAGAGUUGAAGAUGAGAGUCGCGAAUCAGAAGACCAUCCUGAAAAUAACAACAUGAUAGUUGAAGAGGUAUGCAAUAUACAAUAUACAAUAUGAUGACCAUAAGCAUGUGACACCAUGCACCGUUAUAUAGAAACUCUAAUUUCGUAUUCUCUAACUCUUCCUUUUCUUUGCGAAGCCUCAACUGCUACAACAGGUCCUGGAUGAGCCAAAGAGCACUGACGGAGAUUCCAGUGAAGGACAAACCACAAAACGCAGUGCUGCAAUUUGUGCACCAGAAAUAAUUGAAGAAGGAACUGCUAAGCACUCUCAAGACUGUGACAAAGAGACAGAAAACUCACAGGAAGAGGUCAGCUUAUAAAGCCUACUUUGUCUCUAGGGGAAUUAUUGUUUGCCUGUUUCGAUUAUAAACUUAUUUUUUGUACAGAUACUUAAAGAGCCAGAGAUCGCUGGAGUAGGUGAGAGCACCACAUAUGAAACGAAUCAGAUCGCUGAAACACCUGAAGAAUUUUUUGAUGCUUCACCAGUGAAGUAUGAAGAAGGACAGCCGGGAGAAGGUAGCAGUCAAGAUUCAGCAAAAGCUUCAAAGGAGGAGGAUGUUACUGAAGACGAUGACAAUAAUGAUGCAGUCACAGUUACUGAAUCAAAUGCAGAGGUAACAUCAAAAGGGGAAGAAGAUUCAGCACAGCCUUCGGAGAAAUAUGAACCUGAAGAAGAGAAGGUACCUGUCAAAAUUAGUGACGUAGCAGAUGCAAAAGAGGUUUGCGACGUGGAGGAUAAAUCUUCUUUUCCCGAAAAGACAACAGAAGAGACAAGCUUGCAAACAGAAGGGCAUGCGGAGGUUUCUGAAUUGGCUCCGGAAAAGCUAGAUGUUGAAGCUACUGAAGAAGAAUUCAAAGAAGGUUCUGAAAUAGUUCGUGAAUCUGAUUCUAGGAGCAUUGAUGUAGUUUUGAAAGAUAAGAUCGCUACUAGACAGACACUCGACGAAGGGAUAUCACAAGAGCAAGUUGAAAUCCCAUCUUCUACAUUGCUUACUGAGGCAAAGGAGAUUGAACCUUCUCAACAUGAGCAUGAAACUCCAACCAAUGACAAGAAUAUAGAAGAAGAGCAUGAACAGGAAAUGCCAGCUGAUGAAAACGCAGGAGAUUUAUCUGCUGUGAGGUCAGAAGACGAGACACCCUUGCCAAAGGAAGAGUCCGAAGAGCUCAAACCUUCUGCGUUGGCUCUGGAAAAGCUGGAUGCAGGUGAUACAGAAGAAGAAAUCGAAGAAACUUUUAAGACAAUCUCUAAAUCCGAUUCUCAAAGCACUGAUGCAGUUCCAAAAGAUGAAAUUGUUGCUGAUCAAACACACCUUGAGGCAUCUUAUGCUUUGCUUCCCAAGGAAGAGGAGCUCAAAACUUAUCAAGACGAUCAUGAAACUACAACCCAAGACAAAGGUGUAGAGGAAGAGUAUGCCAAGGAAACAGAAGUGCCAGCUGAUGAAAGUGGGAGAGAUUUGGUUGCAC
rnacentral:lncRNA from 1 species